rfam:Apaloderma vittatum contig64399, whole genome shotgun sequence.
GGGCCGUUAGCUCAGUCAGUUGAGCGUGGUGCUGAUAACACCAGGGUCGCGGGUUUGAUUCCAGUUCGGUCCC